GCCAAGUGCGGGGCUGGAACCCAUGAACCCAGAGAUCAUGACCUGAGCUGAAGUUGGACACUGCACUUACGCAGUGAAGACCAUUCUGAGGGACGGCCAAGAACAUGGCCUGAAGGUGAAGGAGGAGGCACGGCGCAGGAUAGACAGCGUUCAAGGGGAGGUGUGUCGCCUGAGGUCCGUGCUCAGGACCUGGGCUGGUACCUUCCUGGUCAUGUGGGGGUGUUGCUCUCCUUGGUCCAUGUCCAUUUGUAGGGGACAGAAACUGGAGAGUCUUGACAGCCUCCAGAUCAGGUCUCUGAGUGCUCCCUUGGUUGAUCUGGGAGGGAAUUUGUCUUAGAUUCUGUGCGGGCUUAUGGCGAGUCUGGAUGGGCAUCUGGUCAGAUCUCUUGCCUGAUGCCUCGAGGCUGAGCUUAGGGUCCUGGUCCAAUGUACAUGCAGGGGGCCGUGUGUUCAGUGUUGAGGUCAUGUUAUGACACUUGAUUUGUGGCUGAUGGGUUAGGACCGGCUCAGGCCAUGUGGCUUAGAGCCAGCAGGGGAACGUCACGGGAGCAAACUUAGGGCCUGUUGUCUGUCAGCAUGAUGACGAGGGCAGGAUCCCGGCCAGAGUGCUUGGAUGCUGGCAAGAGGGCUGCCGGUGACAGCCGCUUCCUGUCUUGUCUUCUGUCCAUGAAGUGAGGUGAAGCUCAGUUCAGGUCUUUUGAUGGGAGACCCUGUAGGGCAGAUGGGUCUCAUACCAGGUUUCUUUUCCAGCCGCUGACAUGUGAGAAUCGGGCCCAGGGUAGAUGCCCCCUUGAUCGCGUAGACAAGCGCAGGCCUGUUUGGAUGCCGUUGGAGAAGACACCACACAUACACAGCGUAUUUUACUUUUACAAAGUCUUGACCUCCAACAUAGGGCUUGAACUCACAACACCGACAUCAAGAGUUGCAUGCUCCGGUGACUCGGCCAGCAAGGCGACGCUCUGAGAUCUUCUAAAAGGGGGACACUGGCAUCGCUGUUGUUUUAUAUAGAGAUGGUGUCUAUCCCUUUCCUUAGGCGGAUAGAAUUGGGACACACCACCUUUUUCCCAUUCAGAAACUGGAAUGCACUCUGUGUGGCCGCUUUGAUUGGAGUGAAUCUGACCUUCAUGCCUUCAGGUUCAUUCUUCUAAAAUCACUGCAGAUGUCCUCCUGCUGUUCGAGGUAAUCCCCCCAAACCAUGGGAUUGUAUUACAGCACCUCUCUCGCCAGUCCCCACCUAACAGCCUUGAGAGGAAAGCAGCCCUGUUUGGGGGACUUGCUGAUUUGAAGCUGCCGUGUCAGUCUGUGUACCCACCCGCUUGUUUUUCGUCCCUCGUGAUGGCUUUCUCCCGGAGAUUGUCAGUGUCCAUACUAAGCAGUUUCUUGGGUGUAGAAAUGUCUAGUGAUGUCACCUGCCCUAGUGAGGGCUUCUACCCGGGUGGAGUCUCAGUUCAGGUAGUCCUUUAUGGUCCCACAGCUCUUUAAACUUUACCAAAUACAACUAUUAAGUGAAUAUUUAAUCUCUACUCUAAUCCCACCUCCACUCCCCACACAGUAGCUGGAAGCCAAAGCCCCAAUAUCUUGUGUGUGCAAAAGUCCAACUCAUUUCUACUAGCCCCGAAAUGCUCCGUCUUUCUUCUGGGAUUUCUUCCAGUACUACCCAACCUCCACCCCCCACCACUUUUCCAUUGCCUCACUAGAAAAUCCCGUGUGGAUGUGGCAGUCAUCUCACUGGAUUUCCCUAGUCUCAUGGAUUGUACCUCAAAAACUGGAAGUUAAAUAGGUUACACGACAACGUCUUCAGAGAUCUGUAUAUUUUACCCAGGUUUUGAUGUUGCCUUUUAUGGGUAAGACCAAUAAAAUCUACUCAGUCAUGGCAGAAAC